UACGUAGGGGGCAAGCGUUAUCCGGAUUUACUGGGUGUAAAGGGAGCGUAGACGGCCAGACAAGUCUGAAGUGAAAAUCCAGCGCUUAACGUUGGAAGUGCUUUGGAAACUGCCGGGCUAGAGUGCAGGGGGGGCAGGCGGAAUUCCUAGUGUAGCGGUGAAAUGCGUAGAUAUUAGGAGGAACACCAGUGGCGAAGGCGACCUGCUGGACUGCAACUGACGUUGAGGCUCGAAAGCGUGGGGAGCAAACAGG
rnacentral:rRNA from 1 species